rnacentral:lncRNA from 1 species
CCCAGAUUGGAGAACGAUCUCAGAAUGAUGCUGAGAAUGACUGUCCUUUGCUUUUGAAGUUGCAAGCUCAUCUACAGCUGUCCAAAACGUGCCUAAAUGGUCUAUAACGGAUAUACUUGGUGAGGAAGCAAGGAACAACUAUCUACAGCCCAUUGCAAGCUGUCAUUAUGGCCCUUUAUUUGAAAACAUGAAGAACAGCAGGGAGAACGUUCU